GACGAACCGAGCGAACGUUAUUCGGAAUCACUGGGCUUAAAGGGCGCGUAGGCGGGCCGUCAAGUCGAGGGUGAAAUCCCCCAGCUUAACUGGGGAAGUGCCUCCGAUACUGGCGGUCUCGAGGGAGAUAGGGGCGUGCGGAACUUCCGGUGGAGCGGUGAAAUGCGUAGAUAUCGGAAGGAACACCGAUGGCGAAAGCAGCGCGCUGGAUCUCUUCUGACGCUGAGGCGCGAAAGCCAGGGGAGCGAACGGG
rnacentral:rRNA from 1 species